rnacentral:rRNA from 1 species
ACUCAAUAGAUACGGUAGUCCACGCCCUAAACGAUGCAUAUUUGGUGUGGGUCAUUCAGUUGAUCCGUGCCGGAGCUAACGCGUUAAAUAUGCCGCCUGGGGAGUACAGUCGCAAGGCUGAAACUCAAAGGAAUUGACGGGGGCCCGCACAAGCGGUGGAGCAUGUGGUUCAAUUCGACGCAACGCGAAGAACCUUACCUGGGCUCGAACGGCUGGUCAACGGCGGUGGAAACAUCGUUACCCCGCAAGGGGGUCCAGUCGAGGUGCUGCAUGGCUGUCGUCAGCUCGUGCCGUGAGAUGUUGGGUUAAGUCCCGCAACGAGCGCAACCCCUGUCCUGUGUUGCCAUCAUUCAGUUGGGAACUCGCAGGAGACCGCCAGCGAUAAGUUGGAGGAAGGUGGGGAUGACGUCAAGUCCUCAUGGCCUUUAUGUCCAGGGCUACACACGUGCUACAAUGGACGGUACAAACCGCAGCAAACCCGCGAGGGGAGCCAAUCGGAAAAAACCCGUUCUCAGUUCGGAUUGCAGGCUGCAAC